UCCGUUGGUGAACCAGCGGAGGGAUCAUUACCGAGUUUUCAACUCCCUAACCCUUAUGUGAACCUACCUAUUGUUGCUUCGGCGGACUCGCCCCAGCCGGACGCGGACUGGACCAGCGGCCGCCGGGGACCCUCAAACUCUUGUAUUAUCAGCAUCUUCUGAAUACGCCGCAAGGCAAAACAAAUAAAUCAAAACUUUCAACAACGGAUCUCUUGGCUCUGGCAUCGAUGAAGAACGCAGCGAAAUGCGAUAAGUAAUGUGAAUUGCAGAAUCCAGUGAAUCAUCGAAUCUUUGAACGCACAUUGCGCCCGCCAGCAUUCUGGCGGGCAUGCCUGUUCGAGCGUCAUUUCAACCCUCGACCUCCCUUUGGGGAAGUCGGCGUUGGGGACCGGCAGCACACCGCCGGCCCUGAAAUGGAGUGGCGGCCCGUCCGCGGCGACCUCUGCGUAGUAAUCCAACUCGCACCGGAACCCCGACGCGGCCACGCCGUAAAACACCCAACUUCUGAACGUUGACCUCGAAUCAGGUAGGACUACCCGCUGAACUUAAGCAUAUCAAUAAGCGGAGGA
rnacentral:rRNA from 1 species